rnacentral:rRNA from 1 species
CGAAGUGAAGCGGCAACAGCUCAAAUUUGAAAGCUGGCUCCUUCGGGGCCCGCAUUGUAAUUUGUAGAGGAUGCUUCGGGUGCAGUGCCGGUCUAAGUCCAUUGGAACUUGGCGUCAUAGAGGGUGAGAAUCCCGUAUGUGACUGGUCACUUGCGCCCAUGUGAAGCUCCUUCGACGAGUCGAGUUGUUUGGGAAUGCAGCUCUAAUUGGGUGGUGUACUUCAUCUAAAGCUAAAUAUUGGCCAGAGACCGAUAGCGCACAAGUAGAGUGAUCGAAAGAUGAAAAGCACUUUGGAAAGAGAGUUAAACAGUACGUGAAAUUGUUGAAAGGGAAGCGCUUGCAAUCAGACUUGCGCGGCGUCGAUCAGCCUGGGUUCUCCCUGGUGCACUCGGCGCCGCUCAGGCCAGCAUCAGUUUCGGCGGUUGAACAAAGAUCCAGGGAACGUGGGUGGCUUCGGACACCGUUAUAGCCCUGGGUGCAAUGCAGCCUGCCGGGACUGAGGACCGCGCUUCGGCUAGGAUGCUGGCGUAAUGGUUGUAAGCGACCCGUCUUGAAACACGGACCAAGGAGUCUAACAUCUAUGCGAGUGUUUGGGUGUCAAACCCAUACGCGUAAUGAAAGUGAACGGAGGUGAGAACCCUUAAGGGUGCAUCAUCGACCGAUCCUGAUGUCUUCGGAUGGAUUUGAGUAAGAGCAUAGCUGUUGGGACCCGAAAGAUGGUGAACUAUGCCUGAAUAGGGUGAAGCCAGAGGAAACUCUGGU